rnacentral:rRNA from 1 species
GAUGAACGCUGGCGGCGUGCCUAAUACAUGCAAGUCGAGCGAACAGACGAGGAGCUUGCUCCUCUGACGUUAGCGGCGGACGGGUGAGUAACACGUGGAUAACCUACCUAUAAGACUGGGAUAACUUCGGGAAACCGGAGCUAAUACCGGAUAAUAUAUUGAACCGCAUGGUUCAAUAGUGAAAGACGGUUUUGCUGUCACUUAUAGAUGGAUCCGCGCCGCAUUAGCUAGUUGGUAAGGUAACGGCUUACCAAGGCAACGAUGCGUAGCCGACCUGAGAGGGUGAUCGGCCACACUGGAACUGGGACACGGUCCAGACUCUUGCGGGAGGCAGCAGUAGGGAAUCUUCCGCAAUGGGCGAAAGCCUGACGGAGCAACGCCGCGUGAGUGAUGAAGGUCUUCGGAUCGUAAAACUCUGUUAUUAGGGAAGAACAAAUGUGUAAGUAACUAUGCACGUCUUGACGGUACCUAAUCAGAAAGCCACGGCUAACUACGUG